AGCCCUACACCGAUCCCCCAUCUUGUAGGGGCAAACGACAGAGCGUCAUUUUCUUUCUGGAGGAAGGGAGCUCAGUUUUAAAGACACGAUUCUCAGACCUGGCGGCAGGGAUAGAGAAAGGAACCCUCCCACCACUGGCGGAGAUGGACCUCAGAGAGUGGUUGCAGCGGCGAUGCUUAGGCCCCGUAGGCAGGAGGCGAAGGAGGAGGACGCAGGAAACCAACUAUCAGGCCUCCCAGAUAGUAUCAAGGAACUGAAACUUCCCAGAUCACAGCAUCUGUACAAUGAGACACCAGACCCUUCACUGGUCAUGAUUACCUGACCACCUGCCACCUGCUUCCUGCUGAACAACUCUUCUUUCUUAUCCUCCCCUAAUUCCUGUUUUCCUGUAUGUAGCUACAUUUCUUUUCUGCUGUAUAAACUCCUAAUUUUAGUUGGUCACGGAGAUGGAUUUGAAGCUGAUCUCCCACCUCCAUGGCUGCAGUACCUGAUUAAAGCUUUCUUUCCUGGCA